AGCUACCUGUGGAUUGGGGCCGUGGUAGAGCGAAGGUAGAAAAUUUGUUACGGAAGGAGCUGGAGUAUCGUUGUGUGAUAUGAGUAAUUAAUUAAUCAAUUUAAUAAAUUAUUAAAUUAAAAAAUGGUGGUGUGGUCGUACCCGCCGACGGCAAGACAAAUGGCGGUAACCGGCGGGGUCUUUGUGGUCGGUGCUUUGUUAUUUGGCGCCGGAGCUUAUCUCUCCUUCAUUAACGUUGCUCCUCAGCAGGCUCGCGCCAAAGAACGUGGUCAAGCAAUUAGAAAUUAUCUCAGGAAGCGCCUCGGUGAUGAUUAAUGCAUCGGUCCAGAGUGAAGUAGAUUGAAGUGGAUCUCGGGUGCUUAUGCAAUGUAACCACUUACCACAGAUAUCAAAGAGCAAGUAUAUGCAUGGCAAGGAAAGCAUUGAGUCGAAAGAUAAGUGCAUUAUGUUCUUUUAACUUGGACUUCCUUAUAUUCUAACCUUGAGUUUAUACCAUUGCUUAUAUAUCUAUAUGGAGGAUUUUGGCCUUCUGCCAUCCAUCGUCGACAACGCUGCUUUAUUUGUUCCCUUAUUACAGAUUUUACAACAUACAUGUCAUAGAGACGAACCUGAUUAUUGAGCCUAAUACCGAUACCACCUCCGAGGAUGAAGAACAUAUUGUGUAUUGUGAUUCACCAUUUUAGUCCCACUUCAUUUGUUGCCUUUGACGUUGCUCCUUAGGAAAUUAAUUAUGCUCUACAUAAUGGUAUUUGUUGAAGUAUGAUGUUAAUUAUGCUCCAUGUGACUUGUUGUAAUCACAUCAUGCAGUUCUUAUUCAUAAAAUUAGCUGAUGUUAACCCAA